rnacentral:lncRNA from 1 species
AACAGGAUUUGACUCAGAUGCUAAAUUCCUGAAUUUUCCAUCAGUAACUCAACUAUAGCUCUGUCCCUCCUCAUAGGUUCCUGAAGGAGACAAAGUGAUCUGAGGAUAGUCCAGCAGAGGAUGCCUCUUUACCACUAGGCAGGACUUCGGCUACACACCUCUGCUGUAAAGCAGACAAGGGUAAAGGAACUUACAGCUUUUGUUCCUUUGCGUGGCAAGGUUGCUCUUGACAUUCACUCCAAAAUGGCCAAUGGGAGUAAUGCCAUGGGACAUUCCUGUUUCCAUCUGCAUGUUUAAAUAUCAAAUGUGGGCAGUCCGGGUGGCUCAGCAGUUUAGCGCUGCCUUCAGCCCAAGGCGUGAUCCUGGAGACUCAGGAUCGAGUCCCAUAUUGGGCUCCCUGCAUGGAGCCUGCUUCUCUCUCUGCCUGUGUCUCUGCCUCUCUCUCUCCGUGUCUCUCAUGAAUAAAUAAAUAAAAUCUUAAAAAAAUAAAAAUAAAUAAAUAUCAAAUGUUAAAUAAUUU